AACGAACGCUGGCGGCGUGCUUAACACAUGCAAGUCGAACGGUGAAGCGCCUUCCUUUUUGGUGGGUGUGGAUGAGUGGCGAACGGGUGAGUAACACGUGAGUAACCUGCCCCCUUCUUCUGGAUAACCGCAUGAAAGUGUGGCUAAUACGGGAUAUUCUGGGUCUGUCGCAUGAUGGGUCUGGGAAAGAUAUUGUUUCGGUGGGGGAUGGGCUCGCGGCCUAUCAGCUUGUUGGUGGGGUGAUGGCCUACCAAGGCGGUGACGGGUAGCCGGCCUGAGAGGGUGGACGGUCACACUGGGACUGAGACACGGCCCAGACUCCUACGGGAGGCAGCAGUGGGGAAUAGUGCACAAUGGGCGCAAGCCUGAUGCAGCGACGCCGCGUGAGGGAUGGAGGCCUUCGGGUUGUGAACCUCUUUCGCCAGUGAAGCAGGCCUGCCUAGUUUGUGGGUGGGUUGACGGUAGCUGGAUAAGAAGCGCCGGCUAACUACGUG
rnacentral:rRNA from 1 species